GUAUGGUGCAAGCGUUAUCCGGAUUUACUGGGUGUAAAGGGAGCGUAGACGGUGUGGCAAGUCUGAUGUGAAAGGCAUGGGCUCAACCUGGGAACUGCAUCUGAUACUGGCAAGCUUGAGUCUCGUAGAGGGGGGUAGAAUUCCAGGUGUAGCGGUGAAAUGCGUAGAUAUACGGAGGAACACCAGUGGCGAAGGCGGCCUGCUGGACAUUAACUGACGCUGAGGCGCGAAAGCGUGGGGAGCAAACAGGAUUAGAUACCCUGGUAGUCCACGCCGUAAACGAUGGAUACUAGGUGUGCGGGGACUGACCCCCUGCGUGCCGCAGUUAACACAAUAAGUAUUCCACCUGGGGAGU
rnacentral:rRNA from 1 species